rnacentral:rRNA from 1 species
GAAACUUAAAGGAAUUGGCGGGGGAGCACUACAACGGGUGGAGCCUGCGGUUUAAUUGGACUCAACGCCGGAAAACUCACCUGGGGCGACAGCAAUAUGUAGGUCAGGCUGAAGGUCUUACCUGAACCGCUGAGAGGAGGUGCAUGGCCGUCGUCAGUUCGUACUGUGAAGCAUCCUGUUAAGUCAGGCAACGAGCGAGACCGGUGCCCAUUGUUGCCAGCAUAUCCUUCGGGAUGAUGGGUACUCUGUGGGGACCGCUGGUGCUAAACCAGAGAAAGGUGCGGGCUACGGAAGGUCAGUAUGCCCCGAAUCUCCAGGGCUACACGCGGGCUACAAUGACCGGGACAAUGGGCUCCUACCCCGAAAGGGUUGGUAAUCUCAUAAACCCGGCCUUAGUUCGAAUUGAGGGCUGCAACUCGCCCUCAUGAAGCUGGAAUCGGUAGUAAUCGCGUUUUCAAUAUAGCGCGGGGAAGUACGUCCCUGCUCCUUGCACACCCCCGCCCGUCAAACCACCCGAGUGAGGUAUGGGUGGAGGGCACGGACCUAGUGCCGGGUUCGAACCUUAAAUUUCGCAAGGGGGGUUAAGUCGUAACAA